AUUGAACGCUGGCGGCAUGCCUUACACAUGCAAGUCGAACGGCAGCACGGGAGCAAUCCUGGUGGCGAGUGGCGAACGGGUGAGUAAUAUAUCGGAACGUGCCCAGUCGUGGGGGAUAACGUAGCGAAAGCUACGCUAAUACCGCAUACGAUCUAUGGAUGAAAGCGGGGGAUCGCAAGACCUCGCGGGAUUGGAGCGGACGAUAUCAGAUUAGGUAGUUGGGGAGGAAAAGGCUCACCAAGCCGACGAUCUGUAGCUGGUCUGAGAGGACGACCAGCCACACUGGGACUGAGACACGGCCCAGACUCCUACGGGAGGCAGCAGUGGGGAAUUUUGGACAAUGGGCGCAAGCCUGAUCCAGCAAUGCCGCGUGCAGGAUGAAGGCCUUCGGGUUGUAAACUGCUUUUGUACGGAACGAAACGGUGAGCUCUAAUACAGUUUGCUAAUGACGGUACCGUAAGAAUAAGCACCGGCUAACUACGUGCCAGCCGCCGCCGUAA
rnacentral:rRNA from 1 species